UUUUUAUUUUCCUUUAAAUUUCUGUUGAGUGCCUAUCUGUCUAGAAGCCUGCUGUCAAUAUUCUCUUGUGAGUUGGCACCUUCAAUCCUGUGUCCAGGGGCUAUUUUCAUUGCUUCUUGCUUUGAAAAUGCCUAGGAUUCAGACACCUACUUCUUCUGAAGCUUGCUUUCUCCUGUGAAUUUCUAAAGUGGCAUGAGUGAUGGGGGACAAUCCUUGAAUCACAUAAAUUAAGCUAAAUGACAGUUUGUUCCAUGAUCUGAAUGCAGGAUGACUUUGGGAUGAUAGACUUCAUGGGCAAGCCCUGUUUAAAAGUUUCAGCCUCGCUGUGUGCUCUAUAGUAUCAGGGUAUUUGAAUUAACUUGUCAUUUCAAAUUUUUACCUUCUAAUAUCUAGGUUUAUGUACAUGGAAAUACUCUUUUUUCAAGAACUGGAUUUUUGCCUCUGAUGCUUCUCUUUAGAUCUCUGCAAUGCAGUCACUGCCAUCAUAGGGUGCACCUAGUGUUUUAACAAAAAAUUUACAGUUUAUUUGCAGCAGGCAGAAACCAGAGGCCUUCUCUUCCUGUGGUAGGCUAGUAGCUAGUGUUAGCUGCCAAAUGUCUGGCCCAGAAUUUCACAAGGGCUUUCUUAGGACACAAAGGUUUUGCUUAUUGUCUAGUCAGCUGGAGCCUUUAUAGUUUAUUUAUUUUAAAAAAUAUUUUUAGUUGUAGAUAGACACAAUACCUUUAUUUAUUUAUUUAUAUGUGGUGUUGAGGAUUGAACCCAGUGCUUCAUACAUGUGAGGCAAGUGCUCCACUACUAAACUACAACCCUAGCUCUAUCUAUAGUUUAUUUUUUAAAUUAAAAAUGUUUUUUCAGUAC
rnacentral:lncRNA from 1 species